UCUCCGCUGGUGAACCAGCGGAGGGAUCAUUAUCGAGUUUAUAACUCCCAAACCCUAUGUGAACUUACUACUUGUUGCUUCGGCGCGCGCUUCGGCGCCGCCGAGGACACUUAAACUCUUUGUUUUUAUAAGCAUUUCCGAGUGGCCGAAAGGCAAAAUACAAAUGAAUCAAAACUUUCAACAACGGAUCUCUUGGUUCUG
rnacentral:misc_RNA from 1 species